AUGCCUGAUUUUAAUACUCAAGUUCUGUGCGAUAAUUACAGAUCUGCAAUGUCACAAAAAAGUUUAGUUGAAAAACAAAUCAAAAAUGAAAUUGAUAAUGGAAAUUAUGUGGUGACAAAGGUGAAACCCUUAAUUACUAGUGCUAUUGGUUCUGUUCCGAAAGAUAAUGGAUCUGUGCGUUUAAUCCAUGAUGCUAGUAUGCCAAAUAAAUUUUGUUUGAAUAGUUUAGUUGAGGAAAAAGCUUGUUCUUACAUGGAUCUUAAUUAUGCAUGCAAAUUAAUUCAACAUAAUAAUUAUCUUUGCAAAGUUGAUCUUAAAAAUGCAUACAGAUGUGUAAGCCUUCAUGAAUCUAAUUAUAAUCUUACUGGUCUUCAUUGGAAAUUUGAGGGUGACGCUGAGGAUACCUAUUUUUAUGAUACAAAAUUACCUUUUGGCGCUUCUAAAUCACCAAGUAUUUUUCAAUGUCUUUCUAGUGCAGUGUGCAGGAUAAUGAAAGCAAAAUUUAAUAUACUGGUUAUAUCAUACCUUGAUGAUUUUUUAAUUAUUAGCAACUCAUAUAAUGAAUGCAAAAGUGCACUUCAAAAGCUUCUCUUCAUUUUGCGUCAGCUUGGUUUUCAUAUAAACUACAGUAAGAUUGAUGGACCUGCACAAAAAUUGAUAUUUUUAGGAGUUUUAAUUGACACAGGUGAAAUGACACUUUCUUUGCCAGAUAGAAAAUUAGCAGAUUUUCAUGGUUUAUUGCAAACGUUUCAGAAUAAACGUCGAGCUACAAAAAGACAACUUGAGUCGCUUAUUGGUAGUUUAAACUGGGCGUCUCAAGUCAUACAGGGGGGUCGCUCUUUCAUGCGUAGGAUGAUUGAUCUGAAGAAUACACUCAAGAACCAUUCGGACAAAGCUUUACUGAACUCUGAUUUUUCUGCAGACCUAGAGUGGUGGCUUAAGUUCAUGAAAACUUUUAAUGGAAGGACUUGUAUUUUAGACAAUAAGCCAAUUUCAUCCCUUCAGUGCGACGCUUGCUCUGAAGGUGGGGGAGCCACUUUUUUUAGGUGAUUUUUUCUACAUAAACUGGACACUUGAUAUGCCGGAUGUGGCCCCUCUGCACAUUAAUUUAAAAGAAACAAUCAUUAUUGUUAUUGCAAUUUUUAAAUGGGCAUCAUUUUUGGAAAACAAAAGAGUUAUUAUUUAUACUGACAAUGUCACAGCAAAAAGUGUUAUAAAUAAAAUGACUAGUAGGAAUCCAGUUGUGAUGGUUUACAUAAGAUUCUUGUUUUAUAUGCAAGCUGUGUAUAAUUUUUCCAUUUUUGCCAUUCAUAUACCUGGUAAAUUUAAUACAUUAGCAGAUGCAUGUUCUAGAUUACAUGAAAAAGACAAACUUAGUCUAGUGUAUGAUUUGUUACCAUUUAAUCCUAAAGGUAUUUUAUCAGUGCAUGAAUUGCUAAAUCAUAUGUCUUUUAAUUUUUUUAUGUACAGGUGGAUGUGUGGAAGACACCCUCGUAAGGGUUGCGGCUGAGUACAGAUCCAGGGGUUGGGCAGAGAGCACAAAGCGACUGUACAGAUUCCAGUUAAAAUGCUACCUUUCUUUUUGUGAGACUAUGUCUAUUCAACCAGUGCCAGUCUCGACUGAUGAUUUUUCUCUAUAUAUAGCAUAUUUGGCUCAUUACAAGAAAUUUCGUUUUUGUACAAUCCAAAAUUAUUUAGCAGUAGUUAAGCACCUGCAUAAAGCUAAUGGUCUCAAGGAUCCCAUAACCGAUAACUGGCAUAUUAAGCAUUUAUUGCUUGGUGUUAAACGAGAUAUAGGUGAUGCACAGGUUGGAGCCACAGCUGUUACUCCAAAUAUGCUACUUAUGAUAAAGAAGGAACUGAACUUGUGUAGGCUUUAUGACCUGUCCGUAUACGUAGCAUGCUUAAUUGGUUUCUUUGGUUUACUCAGACCCGGCAAUUUUCUAUUCAAGGAUAAGCAUAAUCCUAUCCUACGGAUUGAGCAGAUUGGGAGUAUUGAUGAUGGAUUUAUUAUAACUUUUCAUAAAACAAAAACUAUUCAGUUCCGUGAGAAACAGCUAAAUGUUGUGAUACCACAGAUUCCAGGUCAUCCUCUCUGUCCAGCCUCUGCAUUAUACCGCCUACUCAGCCUCCAUCAAAUAUUAGGGUCUAAUGGUCAGACACCUUUAUUGUGUGAAAGUGUAAUUAAAUCAUUAUCCUAUGUGAACUUUAUAUCAUUUGUAAAUGACAUUCUUGCCAAUGUAGGUUGUGGUGAUAAGUUAACAGGACAUUCAUUUCGAAGGGGGGAGCCACCUUUGCCUUCCAGGCAGGUUUGUCAGGGGAAUGCAUACAAGAUAUUGGUAUGUGGAAAAGCAAUGCUUAUUUGA
rnacentral:sRNA from 1 species